rnacentral:lncRNA from 1 species
ACCACUACAUUGCAACAAUCAGUAUCAUGCAGACUUCGAUAUAUGCCAUGAUUUACAUGGUCUCAUCAUUGGAAAGCACGCCCCACACCUUGCCGGAAGAAGUUCCCUCGUACAUCGUCAGUCAUCAGGCACAAACCAUCAUACGCGCUUGCUUAUGAAAAUGACUCACAAGUCAGAUCCAUGGAAAAAAAUAUUAUGGAAAAUAAAUGCCACGCAUUCAAAAAAGGAAUUUAAGUUGAAAACAUUAUUCAAACAAAAGAAAUUGCAUCCAAGGCUCUUCUUUAAAUAUAUAAUUCAAGAAUCUCGGUGAUACUUAUCUACUAUUACGCAUUGUGCAAGGGUAACAGGUAAGCUUGAGGAGAUGUAGUAGAUGUUUUUCCUGUCAUAGAUGUAUACAUAGACACACAUGUGGUGUAGCGGUAGCUACUGCUCGCAAUUGCCUGGGAGGUCGCAUUCGAAUUCCCUUGGAGUCAUUUGUGUUUUUAAAUUUUAGCUAGACGUGAGAAUGAGAAUAAGCUUUGCGGGAGGGGAGAAUGGAAAAGACAGAACAGAGAAUGGAAAUGAAAGAACAUGGAAAUGAGUUUGUGCGUGGAUGAGGGAACGAGGAAGGCAAGAUCUGUCAACGCGAUUUUCUUGACUCUCACUUUUCUUUUUCUAGCUUACAUUCCCCUACGCACAUAAACUUAAACCUUUAUCAUCCAAAUGCUAUCUAAGAUAAAACCUUUAGCCAAAUGCUGUCUAAGAUGUAGCUUAGAAAUUUCUGGCAUAGCGGUAAGAGCAUACUGGUUAGUUGGCAUGGCACAGACAUUAGCCUCAGAAGACUGACAUCAUACCUCAUCAGUCGAAUCGGAUCGUCGUCUCCUUUCCAUGGAUGUCACAGGCAAAAAAAACUAAGAAGCUUGGUAUGAAAUCCUCCUGUCCCAUCCCACUCCCACCUCCCAUCAUCCGCGAGCCCCGCCAGGCCCCAGCUGCAGCAGCGGCUAUGGCGUCGCCUCCGCCCGAUGUGGACCUGGGCAAGCUGAGCUACG